CCUANGGGGGGCAGCAGUAAGGAAUAUUGGACAAUGGCCGCAAGGCUGAUCCAGCCAUCCAGCGUGCAGGAAGAAGGCCCUAUGGGUUGUAAACUGCUUUUAUCAGGGAAGAAACCUCUGGAUUCACUCCGGAGCUGACGGUACCUGAAGAAUAAGCACCGGCUAACUCCGUGCCAGCAGCCGCGGUAAUACGGAGGGUGCGAGCGUUAUCCGGAAUUACUGGGUUUAAAGGGUGCGUAGGCGGCUUUGUAAGUCAGGAGUGAAAGUUUGCGGCUCAACCGUAAAAUUGCUUCUGAUACUGCAUAGCUAGAAUUAGGAUGAGGUCAGCGGAAUGUGGCAUGUAGCGGUGAAAUGCAUAGAUAUGCCAUAGAACACCGAUUGCGAAGGCAGCUUACUGGGCCAUUACUGACGCUGAUGCACGAAAGCGUGGGGAGCGAACAGGAUUAGAUACCACANUANUC
rnacentral:rRNA from 1 species